rnacentral:rRNA from 1 species
GAUGAACGCUAGCGGCAGGCCUAAUACAUGCAAGUCGAACGGUCAGUAGCAAUACUGAUAGUGGCGCACGGGUGCGUAACACGUAACUAACCUACCUAUAACUGGGGGAUAGCCCGCCGAAAGGCGGAUUAAUACCGCAUAAGCUGCUUGGGUGGCAUCACCUGAAUAGUAAAGAUUUAUUGGUUAUAGAUGGGGUUGCGGGUCAUUAGCUAGUUGGUAAGGUAACGGCUUACCAAGGCGACGAUGACUAGGGGAGCUGAGAGGCUGGUCCCCCACACGGGCACUGAGAUACGGGCCCG